AAAGGGAAAGGAUAAUAGACAUUGGUAUUCAGUGUGAUCGAUGGAGAAGAGUUAAAGAAGCUACUGGGAUUGAAAAGGACGAGAAAAUGAUGGAAAUAUUGAUCGAUGCAACUACUUCUGAACUAGAGAGCUUCAACAAUCAUCUUUUGAUACGCUCCAAACCAAAGCGAAAUGCUUUCAGCUGUGCAGGUGUCAGUUAGCAGCAAUAGAUUAUUCAAAACACUUGAAUCGUCCUGUUUUGUUGGACAAAGAAGGAAAUGAGAGGAGAAAAAAGGUGUACUCAAAAGCUGCUUGUAAUUGGAGCACAAGGCCUGUGAAAAAAACAUACAUAACCGGUUUGAUCACUGAAGUUAUAAAUGAAUUCACCAUAGGCAAGAAAAGAAUAAGUGGCAAAUGUGAACAGCUGCCUGAAGACUCCAAAAGAAUUAGGUCAACUAUAGCCCCCGUCACCCCUCCACCUACAUCAAUACUUGGAGAUCAGCAUGUCUCUAGAUUGAGAAAAGCGAAAAAAUGAAUUGUUGCCCAAGACGUGUUUGAUAUUCAUUUGAAGUUGACGCAGAAGUUAUCUUUGUUAGAUAACUAUUAAGUUUCACAUCUUUAGUGUAAAUAUAAUUUUAGAAGUGUUUUGAAAAUGUA